GAUGAAGAACGCAGCGAAAUGCGAUAAGUAAUGUGAAUUGCAGAAUUCAGUGAAUCAUCGAAUCUUUGAACGCACAUUGCGCCCUCUGGUAUUCCGGGGGGCAUGCCUGUUCGGGCGUCAUUACAACCCUCAAGCUUUGCUUGGUAUUGGACAUUGCCAGUUUCUGGCAGGUCUUAAAAUCAGUGGCGGUGCCAUUUGGCUUCAAGCGUAGUAAUUCUUCUCGCUUUGGAGAUCCAAGUGGUUACUUGCCAAUAACCCCCAAUUUUUUCAGGUUGACCUCGGAUCAGGUAGGGAUACCCGCUGAACUUAAGCAUAUCAAUAAGCGGAGGA
rnacentral:misc_RNA from 1 species